GAUGAACGCUGGCGGCGUGCCUAAUACAUGCAAGUCGAGCGAACGGACGAGAAGCUUGCUUCUCUGAUGUUAGGGGCGGACGGGUGAGUAACACGUGGAUAACCUACCUAUCAUACUGGGAUAACUUCGGGAAACCGGAGCUAAUACCGGAUAAUAUUUUGAACCGCAUGGUUCAAAAGUGAAAGACGGUCUUGCUUUCACUUAUAGAUGGAUCCGCGCUGCAUUAGCUAGUUGGUAAGGUAACGGCUUACGAAGGCAACGAUGCAUAGCCGAUCUGAGAGGGUGAUCGGCCACACUGGAACUGAGACACGGUCCAGACUCCUACGGGAGGCAGCAGUAGGGAAUCUUCCGCAAUGGGCGAAAGCCUGACGGAGCAACGCCGCGUGAGUGAUGAAGGUCUUCGGAUCGUAAAACUCUGUUAUUAGGGAAGAACAUAUGUGUAAGUAACUGUGCACAUCUUGACGGUACCUAAUCAGAAAGCCACGGCUAACUACGUG
rnacentral:rRNA from 1 species